GUAUAUAUCCAUUCUAUUCAGAGCAUUUCAACCCCUCACUCCUGGAUGAGAUACAGUCUAAAUCCCAUCAUUGAAACUACAUGUGACAAGCAAAGCUUCAACCACCUAGGCCAUAUUUUUCUCUGAUUCUUCCUGAUCACGCUUUUCUGACGGACAUACACAUCUGAGACUGCACAGUUCACUCUAGAAUUCAGCAAACUGCUUUAGCUGAAUAAAUGCAUAUGACGGCCUCUACUGGGGAGACUUAGAAGAAAAAAAUACAUAUAAAGACUGUA